AGAGUUUGAUCCUGGCUCAGGACGAACGCUGGCGGCAUGCCUAACACAUGCAAGUCGAACGAGACCUUCGGGUCUAGUGGCGCACGGGUGCGUAACGCGUGGGAAUCUGCCCUUGGGUUCGGGAUAACAGUUGGAAACGACUGCUAAUACCGGAUGAUGACUUCGGUCCAAAGAUUUAUCGCCCAGGGAUGAGCCCGCGUAGGAUUAGCUAGUUGGUGAGGUAAAGGCUCACCAAGGCGACGAUCCUUAGCUGGUCUGAGAGGAUGAUCAGCCACACUGGGACUGAGACACGGCCCAGACUCCUACGGGAGGCAGCAGUGGGGAAUAUUGGACAAUGGGCGAAAGCCUGAUCCAGCAAUGCCGCGUGAGUGAUGAAGGCCUUAGGGUUGUAAAGCUCUUUUACCCGGGAUGAUAAUGACAGUACCGGGAGAAUAAGCACCGGCUAACUCCGUGCCAGCAGCCGCGGUAAUAC
rnacentral:rRNA from 1 species